rnacentral:lncRNA from 1 species
AUGAUGUUCCAAAUGAUGCCAACCAUCUGUGAAGCCAAAGUCCCCCCAGGAAGCUGGUGGCAUGGAUCAGGCUCCUCUUUAUAGCCAGAUCUACAUUCACAUUUUGCAGUUAGUGGCCUCCAUGCUAGAAGAAAGGGAUCAUCUUCCAGGCACACUAAGAGAGACUAAAAUGUUGGCUUUAACCCAGAGAAAAUUACACGAGAUUGGUCCUGAAAACUACUCCUUACAGGCAGUACCUACUAAAGAACUCCAUGUAUGCAGGGCACAGCUCCUUCAAAGGGAAGAAGUAAUUGCUGAACUGUAAGUGGAAAGAACACUACCUGGCUACGAUUAGAAUAUUUGGGACCCUUUGUCUGUGGGCACAGGGGAUCUGUCAGGAUAAUGGUAGUAAAGAGACAAGCACAGUGUCCACCAGAUAUAUCUACUGCAGGUGAAAUUCUUAAAGCACAAAAUCAUUAUCUGAACACCAUGAAGUUCUGGAUGAAAAGCUAGUGAUUCUUAAACAACAGAACAAUAAGAAAAAAAAAUAACAAAUGGGAUGCUUGAUAGCCAUUAACAAGAAAACAUACCAAGCACAAUAUUCUAUUGUUCUCUAAGUCCUGAGGAAGACCUUGCUAAGGUGUUAGAGCUUCAAAAAUGGACAGGCAGUGCAGAGACUGAAGCCACAUGAAGGAAUGCCUGCCUGCCCUUUGAGUCAUGUCACAGAACUGGGAAGAGAUCCUGAUGCUGCUAGAAAGAAGCUGAUCAAUUCUGAAGAAAUGAGCACAAAACUCCAAAAGAGAUGUCCAGGAAACCACAACCCAAAAGAAAUUCAAGGAAGAGAGAAAUCACUACUCUCAAAACAUGCUGCCUCACCAGAGUGUGAAACUGCCUUUGUACAUGACCUCAGUGAUAAACCUGAAGAUGAAAUUGCAAACAGAUAUUUUAUGCAUCAAAAAACUGAGGAUAAAUAUUGCCAGCUAGAAAAAUACCUCAAAUCUUCAAACUGGCUGAGCAAAAACUGUAGCAGGCAUCAAGGAAUGUAGGGGCAUACUCCCUGAGGUGGAACCUGGGCUGGCACAGAGGCUGGGAGCACUUCCUAAGACUGAAGAGAGACACGGCAAUAUUGAAAAAGGUCACAAAAGGUGGAGGCACAACUGGAAGAAAAGAGCCACGAACUGCAAUGGGAAUGGGCAAGGCAAAAAAAAUGAACACCAUAAUAAACACUUACCAGACAUGGACAAGCUUCGAUCAGAAUCUAAUGAAAGGCUUCAUCUUAAAGAGAGAGCAAAAUAAAGCCUAUUUGAUAAGAUAAGGGGAGUUUAAGGCGGAGUGAGAAGGCCACUUUCUUAAGGAUUCUCUACUGUGGGAAACUAAAAAUACAAGAAGGUAGUUUGAGGGAAGGUAUAACAACACGAUAAGGAUUGGCUCAAAUUAAACAUGGUAACAGUAAGGGCCGAAACACAGUAGAUGAGGAUAACAAGUGUUUAACUUCCUCUAAUUGGGAAGGUGCCCGGCAAGCUGGUAUCUUGGCAAAUGUGACACAAGCAUUUGAGAGCAAUGCUUGUACAG